GAUGAAGAACGUAGCGAAAUGCGAUAAGUAGUGUGAAUUGCAGUAUUCAGUGAAUCAUCGAAUCUUUGAACGCACAUUGCGCCCCUUGGUAUUCCAUGGGGCAUGCCUGUUCGAGCGUCAUUUGUACCUUCAAGCUUUGCUUGGUGUUGGGUGUUUGUCUCGCCUUUGCGUGUAGACUCGCCUUAAAAUAAUUGGCAGCCGGCGUAUUGAUUUCGGAGCGCAGUACAUCUCGCGCUUUGCACUCAUAACGACAGCGUCCAAAAGUACAUUUUACACUCUUGACCUCGGAUCAGGUAGGGAUACCCGCUGAACUUAAGCAUAUCAAUAAGCGGAGGA
rnacentral:misc_RNA from 1 species